UUCUAAUAUGGCAGAUUAGUGCAUUGGAUUUAAGCUCCAAAAAAAAGUUUACACUUUUUUAGA
rnacentral:tRNA from 1 species